UUGUCGUCAGCUCGUGUCGUGAGAUGUUGGGUUAAGUCCCGCAACGAGCGCAACCCUUAUUGUUAGUUGCCAUCAUUUAGUUGGGCACUCUAGCAAGACUGCCGGUGACAAACCGGAGGAAGGUGGGGAUGACGUCAAAUCAUCAUGCCCCUUAUGACCUGGGCUACACACGUGCUACAAUGGGAAGUACAACGAGUUGCGAAGUCGCGAGGCUAAGCUAAUCUCUUAAAGCUUCUCUCAGUUCGGAUUGCAGGCUGCAACUCGCCUGCAUGAAG
rnacentral:rRNA from 1 species